rnacentral:pre_miRNA from 1 species
AUGUAGCACAAGGUAACAUUAAGUAGAGAUAAAUUACUCUAAAGGAAAUGAUAGUUUUCUAGAUAGUUUCCCAUCAAGUUAUGCAUCUUUGU